AUACGGAGGGUGCAAGCGUUAAUCGGAAUUACUGGGCGUAAAGCGUACGUAGGCGGUUAUUUAAGUCAGAUGUGAAAGCCCCGGGCUUAACUUGGGAACUGCAUUUGAAACUGGGUAACUAGAGAUUAGUAGAGGGGAGUGGAAUUUCAGGUGUAGCGGUGAAAUGCGUAGAGAUCUGAAGGAACACCAGUGGCGAAGGCGACUCCCUGGACUAAAACUGACGCUGAGGUACGAAAGCGUGGGAAGCAAACAGGAUUAGAAACCCCUGUAGUCC
rnacentral:rRNA from 1 species